rnacentral:SRP_RNA from 1 species
UUGGUUCUCCCGCAACGCUAACUUGUUAACUUGGUCAGGUCCGGAAGGAAGCAGCCAUAGCAGGGGUCGUGUGUGCCGGGAUG